rnacentral:rRNA from 1 species
CAGUCGUACCUUCGGGUAAUCAGCCUUUCGGGUGCGAUUCUGUGGAGUGUGAGGAGCUUAACACCUUCAUGCUUUGCAUAUUUGUGCUCUUGGGUGUACUUGCCCGUGUGGUUGGUUAACAUCAAUUUUGGUUAUCAUAAAAUGAUUGGAGGAAUGUAGCUUCGAUCUCGUAUUGAAGUGUUAUAGCCUUUGGUAGAUGUGAUGAUCGAGAUUGAGGAUUGCAACGGAUACCCUUCGGGGCUACCUGUCUGGUCUCUGAUCGUUGCUCUGGUGCCGAAAGCUUGCUUACGGUUAUCAAAGUCGAUGGUCAAUAGGUUAGAACGGGUUAAA